GAUGAACGCUAGCGGCAGGCUUAAUACAUGCAAGUCGUGGGGCAGCAUGAGUAGCAAUACUUGAUGGCGACCGGCAAACGGGUGAGGAACACGUACACAACCUUCCUUCAAGCGGGGAAUAGCCCAGAGAAAUUUGGAUUAAUACCCCAUAAUAUAUUUGAUAAGGCAUCUUAUUAAUAUUAAAGCUUCGGCACUUGAUGAUGGGUGUGCGGCUGAUUAGAUAGUUGGCGGGGUAACGGCCCACCAAGUCCACGAUCAGUAGCUGAUGUGAGAGCAUGAUCAGCCACACGGGCACUGAGACACGGGCCCGACUCCUACGGGAGGCAGCAGUAAGGAAUAUUGGACAAUGGACGAAAGUCUGAUCCAGCCAUGCCGCGUGAAGGAUUAAGGUCCUCUGGAUUGUAAACUUCUUUUAUAUGGGACGAGAAAAGGGCAUUCUUGUUCACUUGACGGUACCAUAUGAAUAAGCACCGGCUAAACUCCGUGCCAG
rnacentral:rRNA from 1 species